CCUACGGGAGGCAGCAGUGAGGAAUAUUGGUCAAUGGACGCAAGUCUGAACCAGCCAUGCCGCGUGCAGGAAGACGGCUCUAUGAGUUGUAAACUGCUUUUGUACGAGGGUAAACGCAGAUACGCGUAUCUGUCUGAAAGUAUCGUACGAAUAAGGAUCGGCUAACUCCAUGCCAGCAGCCGCGGUAAUACGGAGGAUUCAAGCGUUAUCCGGAUUUAUUGGGUUGAAAGGGUGCGUAGGCGGUCGGAUAAGUUAGAGGUGAAAGCCCGAGGCUCAACUUCGGAAUUGCCUCGGAUACUGUUCGGCUAGAGAGUAGUUGCGGUAGGUGGAAUGUAUGGUGUAGCGGUGAAAUGCUUAGAGAUUAGACAGAACACCGAUUGCGAAGGCAGCUUACCAAGCUACUUCUGACGUUGAGGCACGAAAGCGUGGGGAGCAAACAGGAUUAGAUACCCGAGUAGUC
rnacentral:rRNA from 1 species